UGAGGAAUAUUGGACAAUGGUCGGAAGACUGAUCCAGCCAUGCCGCGUGCAGGAAGACGGCCUUAUGGGUUGUAAACUGCUUUUGCAGGGGAAGAAUAAGGACUACGUGUAGUUUGAUGACGGUACUCUGCGAAUAAGCAUCGGCUAACUCCGUGCCAGCAGCCGCGGUAAUACGGAGGAUGCGAGCGUUAUCCGGAAUCAUUGGGUUUAAAGGGUCCGUAGGCGGGCUAAUAAGUCAGAGGUGAAAGCGCUCAGCUCAACUGAGCAACUGCCUUUGAAACUGUUAGUCUUGAAUGGUUGUGAAGUAGUUGGAAUGUGUAGUGUAGCGGUGAAAUGCUUAGAUAUUACACAGAACACCGAUAGCGAAGGCAUAUUACUAACAAUUAAUUGACGCUGAUGGACGAAAGCGUGGGGAGCGAACAGGAUUAGAUACCCUGGUAGUCCACGCUGUAAACGAUGGAUACUAGCUGUUUGGUUGUAAGACUGAGUGGCUAAGCGAAAGUGAUAAGUAUCCCACCUGGGGAGUACGCACGCAAGUGUG
rnacentral:rRNA from 1 species